CCUGCUCUGUAGCACAGGUGCUCAAUUGUACAUUGGACCAGCUAGGAGUUGAGGCAGCCGGGGUAGCACCAGGAGAUUUGGAUGCACCAACCAUUUGGAAAUAAAAGAUAUGUACUUUGCCACAUGUCCCUGUUGAAGGGCCAUCUCAUAUCUCUUCUGGAUCCUUCUUUGAGAAGAGGUGAUCUCCAUCUAACAUCUGAGAGCGUUGGCACUGCCCAUCGGCAAACAGAAUCGACAAUAGCCAG